rnacentral:rRNA from 1 species
AACGAACGCUGGCGGCAGGCCUAACACAUGCAAGUCGAGCGAGGACUUCGGGUCUAGCGGCGGACGGGUGAGUAACGCGUGGGAAUGUGCCCUUCUCUACGGAAUAGCCCUGGGAAACUGGUAGUAAUACCGGAUACGCCCUUUGGGGGAAAGAUUUAUCGGAUAAGGAUCAGCCCGCGUUGGAUUAGGUAGUUGGUGGGGUAAAGGCCUACCAAGGCGACGAUCCAUAGCUGGUUUGAGAGGAUGAUCAGCCACACUGGGACUGAGACACGGCCCAGACUCCUACGGGAGGCAGCAGUGGGGAAUAUUAGACAAUGGGCGCAACCCUGAUCUAGCCAUGCCGCGUGAGUGAUGAAGGCCUUAGGGUUGUAAAGCUCUUUCAGCUGGGAAGAUAAUGACGGUACCAGCAGAAGAAGCCCCGGCUAACUCCGUG